AUUGAACGCUGGCGGCAGGCCUAACACAUGCAAGUCGAACGAGAGGCAGACGGGUGUGUAAUGUCUGAAAAACUGCCUGAUGGAGGGGGAUAACUACUGGAAACGGUAGCUAAUACCGCAUACCAUCAGAUGUGCCCAGAUGGGAUUAGCUGGUGGGUGGGGUAACGGCACACCAAGGCGACGAUCCCGAGCUGGUCUGAGAGGAUGACCAGCCACACUGGAAAUGAGACACGGUCCAGACUCCUACGGGAGGCAGCAGUGGGGAAUAUUGCACAAGGGGCGCAAGCCUGAUGCAGCCAUGCCGCGUGUAUGAAGAAGGCCUUCGGGUUGUAAAGUACUUUCAGCGGGGAGGCGUUACCCGCAGAAGAAGCACCGGCUAACUCCGUGCCAGCAGCCGCGGUAAUAC
rnacentral:rRNA from 1 species